CUUUAUGCAUUCACCAUUCACUUCGCAAACACUGGCUGAGUUCUACCAUGAGAAUUGAGAUAGAGACGGUCGUGCUUCCCCUGUGGCUCAGCUGAUGUCUGCAACCCCGGGUCUGUGUUGCCUUCACGACGUCCCCAAGUUCUAGAUCUCAGUGGCAAGGUGCACAGAAGAAAGCUUCUGAUAGAGGCCACCCCCUAGGCAGGGGCAGGACAGCUGUAUACAAUGGGCUCCAUGUGAUGGCAUACGUCCUCCCCACAGCGAGGACAGGGGCUGAGGCUUAUCCAGAUGAUCCUGGGACGUCCCAAGUCUCUCAGAAUCUCCAACAGCUGAGCCCGAAGCCGGGCAAGUCUCGCUUCCAGGAGAACGCCCCGGGCGCUGUAACUCUCCUGAGGGGCGGGAUAGCGCUCUUGCCUUAAACAGGGCAGCACAGCGGUGUGUCGCAGCAGCUUCUCCACGACGGCCGUGGACAGGAGGUUCCCACACAGGCUGACGGCCCUGAGCUGGGAGCAGCGGCUCAGGGCAGGCAGGAAGGCCUGCAGCUGGGAGUCCGUGAUCCCACACGCAUCGAAGUCCAGUUCCUGGAGGGUGGCUGCGACUUUCUCCAGCAGAACGUGGAGGAGCUCAGGCCGAAAGUCAGUCAUGGCGACACCGCUGAGAUCCAGGCUCUUGAGCUGACUGAUGUCUGGGCUCUGGGACACGUGGGUCAAGUCCGAUUC